UACGGAAGGUCCGGGCGUUAUCCGGAUUUAUUGGGUUUAAAGGGAGCGCAGGCGGAGGUGCAAGCGUGCCGUGAAAGCGCGGGGCUCAACCCCGUACAGCGGCGCGAACUGCUCCCCUUGGUUGCGGGAAGGGAAGGCGGAACUCGUGGUGUAGCGGUGAAAUGCAUAGAUAUCACGAAGAACUCCGAUCGCGAAGGCAGCCUUCCGGCCCGUCAACGACGCUCAUGCUCGAAGGCGCGGGUAUC
rnacentral:rRNA from 1 species